ACAUAUGAUAUGGACAGUCCUGCAAAUAACCCUUGUACCCCUCCUAUGCUUGUGGUAGAGAUUCAAAAUCUUUCUGAGUGAAUUUAGCAAUUUUCUCUCUCAACUC